UUUGAUCGAGCCCAGAUACAGCGGCCGCCGAGGGUCCCGGUCUUGGCCGUAGGCGGCCAGCAGGGCUUGGGCCUC
rnacentral:antisense_RNA from 1 species